GGCAUUUCGGUCGGCAACAAAUUUGAAAGGACAAAGAGCUAAAAAUUUGUUAAAAUGGAGGGAAAUUAAGUGUCCUACACAACCCGGUAGUGUGGAGUGCGGAUAUUAUGUCUUGCGAUAUAUGUUUGAGAUAUGCACUCAAUACUAUGAGUAUGAAGAUUUAGCAUCGGCAUUUGCGGGGUCAAAGUCCUACACGGAGAAUCAAAUCAAUGAAAUUCAUGAAAUUUGGGCUAAAUACUUUUGUGAAGAAUGCUUAUGACAUUUUGUGUAGGUAAAGUGUUGUAAUGAUGUAAUGACUUAUGUUUUAUAAUAUUGUAAUGAUGUAUGUGUUAAGUAUUUGGUAUGUGUUAA